UCAAGCGAUUCAACAUAACAUGUGUCCACAUGAGACCAAAUGAGUUCAAAAUCACCUCCGACAGCAGUGAGGAGUCCUCCAGUUAGGAAGGAAUAUUCCUGUGGAAUUAUUUUAAGAAGUAAGAAAGAAGAGAUUGGAAAGCACCUUUUCCUCUUGGCCAAAAUUAUGCAGAAGAGAAUUGGAACAGUUUGAUCUCCAGUUCUGUUCAGGCAUCUACCCUCCUCCACUUGGUCAUGUGCUUCUGUGGAUGUUGCUGCUAUUUAGUGACUAAGUCAUGUCAGACUCUUUUGCAACCCCAGGGAUGGU